UCCGUAGGUGGCCCUCGUUGUCCGGAUUUACUGGUCUUCCCUUUCUCUUCUUCUUCUCCUUCCUUGUGAUGUGAAAUACCUGGGCUUAACUUGGGUGCUGCAUUCCAAACUGGGUGUCUAGAGUGUUGGAGAGGAAAGUGGAAUUCCUAGUGUAGCGGUGAAAUGCGUAGAGAUUAGGAAGAACACCAGUGGCGAAGGCGACUUUCUGGACAAUAACUGACGCUGAGGCUCGAAAGCGUGGGGAGCAAACAGGAUUAGAUACCCUGGUAGUCCACGCCGUAAACGAUGGGUACUAGGUGUAGGAGGUAUCGACUCCUCCUGUGCCGCCGUUAACACAAUAAGUACCCCGCCUGGGGAGUACGGUCGCAAGAUUAAA
rnacentral:rRNA from 1 species